AUUUUGCACACAAUUGGGCGACAACGCUGGAUGGCAGCCAUGCCGCGUUGUAUGAAGAGCUUCGAGUUGUAAGCUACUUUCAGCAGGGAGGAGGUAGUAACGUAUACAUCAGUCAUGACGUACCGGCAGAAGAAGCACGGCUACUCGGUGCCAGCAGCGCGGUUAAUACGGAGGGGUGCCAAGCGUUAAUCGGAAUUUACUUGGGCGUAAAGCCGCACGCCAGGCGGGUGGGUUAAGUCAGGAUGGUGAAAUCCCCGGGGCUCCAACCUUGGGAACUGCAAUCUGAAUACUGUGCAAGCCUGAAGUCUCGUAGGAGGGGGGGUAAGAAUUUCCAGGUGGUAGGCGGGUAAAAUGCCGUAGGAGAUCCUGGAGGAAUAUCCCGGUGGCGGAAGGGCGGCCCCCCUGGCAGAAGGACUGACGUUCAGGUGGGAAAGCGUGGGGAGCAACCAGGAUAAGAUACCUUGUUAUUCCACCCGGUAACGGAUGUCGACUUGGAGCUUGGUCCUUGGAGGCGUGGCUUCGGAACCUAACGCGUAAAUCCGCCGCCUUGGGGAGUACGCCCGCAAGUUUAAACUUCAAUUGAAUUGACGGGGGCCCGCCCAAGCGGUGGACCAUGUGGUUUAUUCGGAUGCAACCGGAAGACCCUUCCCUGCUCUUGACAUUCACGGAACUUUUCAGAGAUGAGAAGGUCCUUUCGGGAUCCGUGAGCCAGGUGCUCCAUGGCGUUGUUCAGCUCGUGUUGUGAAAUGUUGGGUUAAUUCCCGCAACGAGCCCAACCCUUUUCCUUUGUUGCCACCGGUCCGGCCGGGAACUCAAAGGAGACUGCCAGUGAUAAACUGGAGGAAGGUGGGGAUGACGUCAAGUCAUCAUGGCCCUUACGACCAGGGCUACACACGUGCUACAAUGGCGCAUACAAAGAGAAGCGACCUCGCGAGAGCAAGCGGACCUCAUAAAGUGCGUCGUAGUCCGGAUUGGAGUCUGCAACUCGACUCCAUGAAGUCGGAAUCGCUAGUAAUCGUAAAUCAGAAUGCCACGGUGAAUACGUUCCCGGGCCUUGUACACACCGCCCGUCACACCAUGGGAGUGGGUUGCACAAAGAAGUAGGUAGCUUAACCUUCGGGAGGGCGCUACCACGUUGAUAGG
rnacentral:rRNA from 1 species